AAAAUAUUGGGUACACGCUAAAGCCGAUACUCUGGGAGCUUUUCAACAGCGUUGUGCUUUAGCUAGGAAGCAGUCGAAAUUCUACGGAGAUCUGCAGAAUGUAUAACUAAAGACAUCGCUAUAUUUCGUGCCAAACCGUGAUUGAAGCGUUGUGGUAAGGUCGUGUGUGUGUUAUUGUGGAGCAACUGUGAACCUCCGUAUCAUGCACCUAUCUUGAAUUCAAGAUAUCUAGUGGCACUGAACGAUACCUCAUAACAACAAACGGCGCUAAUGUCCAUUGUGACCAUGGGCAUCAACUUACCAGCGAAUCUAUUCAACAUUGUCGUUGAAGUUAUUUCCUUCGCUGCUCUCAUCUGAUCCUGUUCUGAUCGUUGGCACAGACUGACCUAUCGCUCGUUUAUGGAGCCCAGGUGCGCAAUGUUUUGAGUGUUCACGUCCGUCCGUUCGGCAUACCAUCAGGCGAGCGGCUCGCAGCACGAAACAAAGCGUGUCCACGUUUGGAUUCGAAUUUAAACACCCAUGUUUAUUCAAUAGCAGGUAAACAAGUUACCCACCACGCCCAUCACAAGAAGUCGUUUAAGAUGUAUCUACCUCCUCCGAAAUCUUCGAUCUCCUAACUCCGUUCUUCGAAUGACUAACUCAGCAAUAAACUGGAACUUCGGUGAAAGU